AUAAAGAAUAAGCCUAAUCCCAGGCAUCAGGGGAACGGGGGAACCACUUUGGGUGAAUUGGUCUCGCAACGGAGGGGCCAUAGGGGAAACCUUCUACCGAAUCCUUAAGCUAACCUCGUAGGCGUUGGAAGGGGUACAC
rnacentral:sRNA from 1 species